rnacentral:sRNA from 1 species
GGCGCUGGCGGUUGCUGUCAGCUGAUUCCCGGGGUUGGUGGCAGCGGCAGUAGCAGCAAUGGACUUUCUCCUGGGGAACCCGUUCAGCUCUCCAGUGGGACAGCGCAUCGAGAAAGCCACAGAUGGCUCCCUGCAGAGCGAGGACUGGGCCCUCAACAUGGAGAUCUGCGACAUCAUCAACGAGACAGAGGAAGGUCCCAAAGAUGCCCUCCGAGCAGUAAAGAAGAGAAUCGUGGGGAAUAAGAACUUCCACGAGGUGAUGCUGGCUCUCACAGUGAGUGCCCCAUCUGUCUGUCCUGUGGCAGGACUACGGUCCACUGAAAGUCACCUCCCCUCAGACCCAGCAGGACUCCCAGCCUCCUCUGAGCUCCUCAUUUGAGAGCUGGAAAGGUCUGUGGGCAACGCACUGUCCUGUCUACACUGCAGGCGGAUGCAGAAUGGCAAGAGGCCAUUUGGAAAGGUUCUCCCCAAUCCCCCAGCAUGGGAACAGACGCUUACAUCACUCCAGAACCACUGGCAGGGAGAGCCUGGGCCAAAGGACCUGCGGGUGACAUUGAAGCUCAGUAAACCCAGGCCUCCGCGGGGGCAGGGAGGCUGGCUGACUGAGUUGGGUGCUGCCCGGCACUUUGGUGCUCUGGCAAAUGAAUGUAAAAUAAAUACCAGUGGCUGAGAACAGUCUUGCCCACACCACUGAACCAGCCCAGAUCUCAGGGCGGCCAGACACGCGUGGGCCUCCUAGCCGUCAGCAUGGGUUUGGCUGGGGAAGAUAUAAAUGCUGUCCCACCCUCCUCCACAAGCAGCAUUUAUAUCCAGGUGAAUUGGCUUAAGCAAAAAGCAAAGGCAUUUCCU